AACGAACGCUGGCGGCAUGCCUAACACAUGCAAGUCGAACGAAGCCUUCGGGCUUAGUGGCGCACGGGUGCGUAACGCGUGGGAAUCUGCCCUUGGGUUCGGAAUAACAGUUAGAAAUGACUGCUAAUACCGAAUGAUGUCUUUGGACCAAAGAUUUAUCGCCCAAGGAUGAGCCCGCGUCGGAUUAGCUAGUUGGUGAGGUAAAGGCUCACCAAGGCGACGAUCCGUAGCUGGUCUGAGAGGAUGAUCAGCCACACUGGGACUGAGACACGGCCCAGACUCCUACGGGAGGCAGCAGUGGGGAAUAUUGGACAAUGGGCGAAAGCUUGAUCCAGCAAUGCCGCGUGAGUGAUGAAGGCCUUAGGGUUGUAAAGCUCUUUACCCGGGAUGAUAAUGACAGUACCGGGAGAAUAAGCCCCGGCUAACUCCGUGCCAGCAGCCGCGGU
rnacentral:rRNA from 1 species